GAUUAACGCUGGCGGCGUGCAUAACACAUGCAAGUCGAACGAUGAAACUUAGAAGACUUCUUCGGAAAGACACUAAGCGGCUUAGUGGCGACAGGGUGAGUAACGCGUUAGUAACCUGCCUUACCCAAGGGGAUAGCCUUCGGAUACGAAAAAUAAUACCCUAUAAAACCAUAAAAGAACAUGAUAGAGUGGUCAAAGUGAUAGCGGUGUAAGAUGGACUUGCGUCUGAUUAGCUAGAUGGUGAGAUAAAAGCUCACCAAGGCAACGAUCAGGAGCCGGCUUGAGAGCGUGUACGGCCACAUUGGGACUGAGACACGGCCCAGACUCCUACGGGAGGCAGCAGUGGGGAAUUUUGCACAAUGGGGGAAACCCUGAUGCAGCGACGCCGCGUGAUUUAGAAGGCCUUCGGGUUGUAAAAAUCUUUUGUAUAGGAAGAAAAUGACAGUACUAUACGAAUAAGGUCCGGCUAAUUACGUG
rnacentral:rRNA from 1 species